CACAGCUUUCUAUUCAGACAAAGAGUUUGCUGGAUUCUGUUCUAUGGACUGCUACUACAGAAUGAAUGAAUGAAUGAACCUAAACUUGCGGUGGUGAUGACGUCAGUAACCCGCGCCAUGCAGAAGUUUUGAAGCCAUCUUUCGCAUUACCUUUUGGCACGCCCCCUACCUUUCGUUUCACCAAUGAGAAGCCUUUUGGCACGCCCCACACCUUUCGGCACGCCCCCACCUUUUGGCACGCCCAUUGCUCCAGGCUGCAGUUACCCCUACUUGACGCAAACCCCUGAUCCCCGACGGAAGAACAACACGCACUGAGGAAAAGAUUCUUACCGUGGAGGUGAAGAAAGGCUGGAAGGAAGGAACCAAGAUUACUUUCCCCAAGGAAGGUGAUGAGAUGCCAACAAACAUCCCCGCAGAUGUGGUGUUUAUGGUGAAAGAUAAACCACAUCCCGUCUACAAACGAGAUGGAUCGGACAUAAUUUAUCCUGCAAAAAUUUGUUCCACCCAUG
ensembl:lncRNA